rnacentral:lncRNA from 1 species
CUGUGAGGGAUGGGAGAGGGAACUGACCAAGGACAAGAGGAGAACACACAGUCCGAUGGCAUCUGGGAAGCAUGAACCCACAUAGAACUAAUCUGGAGACUCCAGUGUUUUUUUACAUGAGCUCAGCAACAAAGACACUAAGGAGAACAAAUGGUUGAAUUUGACCAGGGAAAAUGCAUGAGACGCGGGUGUGUGCAGAAGUGCCUCUGGUGAAGAGUGGCUCCCACAGGACAGGUCAUGCAUGUCUUAGUCUGAAUGUUCUCUGUCUCACAACACAGAGUGGGCUUAGCCCACGCUAUUCUGAAUGAAUGGUAUAUCCGGCACAGUAGCUGAGAGCGCUUGCUUUUGAAGUGUAUCUGGUUUGAAUCUGGGCUCUGCCACUCACUAGCUUAUGCAACCUUAGGCAAGCUACUGAACAUCUCUGAGCCUCAAUUUCCUCAUCUGUUACUGGGAGAAUUCACGUAGCUUCUGUGGACUGAGCCCAUCUAUGCAUUGUGCUAUCAUUACCAGCUAUUCUAAGAGAGAACAUCUUGGACAAUAACAGCAUCAAAAGUAAGAGAACAGAUGGCAAGCAAGGAAGACAGAGAGGUAUUCAAGACUCCAAGGUGGAAGUGUGAAGUAAAAGCUGGCUUGUGGAUCUCAUGUUUCCACUUGAAGGCGAAUUAAUUUCAUUCACUUCAUGGUUCAGCUGCCCAACAAAUGUUUCAAGCUUUAACUUUUCUAUGGCUUAAUCUACAUAGCAUAUAUUAUUGAUCCCCUAACACGGUAACUGAAGCUGGUAGAGCAUUAUUAUCCUCCUUAUCCGGACAGAGUCAGUUAUUGAAGAAUUUACCCCUGGUCAGGGGCAAAGCGGUACCUUCAACCUCUAUCUUCUGGUUCUACGUCCUAUUCAAUCCUUGACAUCUCACUGUCUUCCAUUUCAUCUUUCUUGAUUGGAUCAUCACAGCUAUUAGAACAAAAUGGCUCUAACAAAGAGAAAAAUAUCAUUCCAAGAACCAGAACUGGCCUCAAUCCAUCACAAGUUGAUGUACAGAAUACAGGUAAGAUAUUUUUAAGCUGUAUUUCGCUUAAAGCUAAAUGAAGACUCCUCCCUGUAGCAACUGCAUGUAGAACUCAGCAGUGCCAAUUUCUUCGCGGCAUCAUAACUUCCUCCCCAGGAAGGCAUAAGAACCUCUGACUCAGACAGAUGAACUACCCGCAGUUGGGCAGAUCAUUUUCUUUAUUCAGUUCUUGAUAUUCUUAAAUGCCAGCAUGUUAAGUCAGUGUGAGGAUCUGCCCUCUAGUUCAGGAGGGCACUUUUUGUGUAUGUGUGGCAUGUUUUCAUGCCACAGACAUGUCUUUUUUGAAAGCAGAAGUACUCUUAUAGGCUGGGUGAGAGGUGAGAGCGUGCGGGCAACCCUUGCUCGCUCUCAGCACCUCCUUGGCCUUGGCACCCACUCUCGCCACGCUUGAGGAGCCCUUCAGCCCACAGCUGCACUGUGGGAGCCCCUCUCUGGGCUGGCCAAGGCUGGAGCCGGCUCCUUCUGCUUGUGGGAAGGUGUGGAGGGAGAGGCGCAGGCAGGAACCGGGGCUGCGCGUGGCGCUCACAAGCCAGAGCGAGUUCUGGGUGGGCGCAGGCUCAAUGGGCCCCACACUCGGAGCAGCUGGCCGGCGCCGCCAGCCCUGGGCAAUGAGGGGCUUAGCACCUGGGCCAGCUGCUGAGGAGGGUGCCCCGGGUCCCCCAGCAAUGCCAGCCCACCAGCGCCACACUCGAAUUCUCGCCGGGCCUCAGCCACCUCCCCGCAGGGCAGGGCUCGGGACCUGCAGCCCGCCAUGCCCAAGGCCCCCACCCCGCCCCUGGUGGGUUCCCAUGCUGCCCGAGCCUCCCUGAUGGGCGCCGCCCCCUGCUCCACAGCGCCCAGUCCCAUCGACCGCCCAAGGGCUGAGGGGUGCAGGCGCGCAGCGCUGGACUGAUGGGCAGCUCCACCCACAGCCCCGGCGUGGGAUCCACUAGGCAAAGCCAGCUGGGCUCCUGAGUCGGGUGGGGACUUAGAGAACUUUUAUGUCUAGCCGGAGGAUUGUAUAUGCACCAAUCAGCACUCUGUGUCUAGCUUGGGGUUUGUGGAUGCACCAAUCAGCACUCUGUAUCUAGCUAAUCUGGUGGGGAUUUGGAGAACUUUUAUGUCUAGCUAGAGGAUUGUAAAAGCACCAGUCAGCACUCUAUGUCUAGCUCAAGGUUUGUAAAUGCACCAAUCAGUGCUCUGUGUCUAGCUAAUCUAGUGGGGACUUGGAGAACUUUUAUGUCUAGCUAGAGGAUUGUAAAUGCACCAAUCAGCAUUCUGUGUCUAGCUCAGGGAUUGUAAACGCACCAAUCAGCACCCUGUCAAAACGGACCAAUCAGCUCUCUGUAAAAUGGACCAAUCAGCAGGAUGCGGGUGGGGCCAGAUAAGGGAAUAAAAGCAGGCUGCCCAAGCCAGCAGCGGCAACCUGCUCGGGUCCCCUUUGACACUGUGGAAGCUUUGUUCUUUCAGUCUUUGCAAUAAAUCUUGCUGCUGCUGCUCACUCUGGGUCCGCACUGCCGUUAUGAGCUGUAACACUCACUGCGAAGGUCUGCAGCUUCACUCCUGAGGCCAGCGAGACCACGAACCCACCGGGAGGAAUGAACAACUCCAGACAGGAGGAACUAACAACUCCAGAUGCGCCGCCUUAAGAGCUGUAACACUCACCACGAAGGUCUGCAGCUUCACUCCUGAAGCCAGCAAGACCACGAACCCACCAGAAGGAAGAAACUCCGAACAUGUCCGAACAUCAGAAGAAACAAACUCCGGACACACCAUCUUUAAGAACUGUAACACUCACUGCAAGGGUCCGCGGCUUCAUUCUUGAAGUCAGUGAGACCGAGAACCCACCAAUUCCAGACACAUGGGCAUGGUGGCUCACACCUGUAAUCCCAGCACUUUCGGAGGCCAAGCUGGGCGGAUCACCUGAGGUCAGGAGCUCGAGACCAGCCUGACCAACACGGUGAAACCCCAUCGCUACCAAAAAUACAAAAACUAGCUGGGCAUGGUGGCACACGUCUGUAAUCCCAGCUACUUGGGAGGCUGAGGCAGAAGAAUCGCUUGCACCCAGGAGGCAAAGGUUGCAGUGAGCCGAGAUCACACCACAGCACUACAGCCUGGGUGACAGAGCAAGAUUCCAUCUCAAAAAAAAAAAAAAAGUACUCUUAUAUAAUCACAGAAAAGUACAUUUUGUUAGAACAAAAGAGAUUGUUAGUAACAGAAAUAUGUCAGCACCCAGCACAGUACCAGUCCCUCAUUAAAUAAUCCAUUAAAUGAAAACACCUAAAAUCAUGUUAGCUCAAAAAUUAACCCCAAAUCCCAGACAAACACAGAAUCUGUUUGGCAUGAAGCCAUGGGCCUACAUAUAUUGUGUAACCCCAAGAGCUGGGUGACUCCACACAAAAUACACUCCGUGUAUUUUGGAACCGAACUUCUUUUGCUAAGCCAACUGUUGAAGGCUUAAAGAGACUGCAAUUGGGUCCCCGGCCAGCAAUAACAUGCAAUAGCAAGAAAAUAAAAUGUGUGUUUUCCACAGUAAACACAUAUGUUGGAGAUGAGUCAAGAAAUUCUUACCUGGUCUAAAUACUGAGGGAGAAGCUUUGCCAAGAUCUUGGCUGUAUUUUCACUCAGUUCAGAAGGCUUUAUAAUCACAGCAUUUCCUAAAUAAAGUAAAAAGUAGAACAGUAUCAUCUAAUAUUUAACUUUAAUAGCUACCAAAAUGAUGUUCAGUGGGAAGAACAGGCUAGGUACUCCCAAUUAUUUCUGCAGCUCUCAAUGCUGCAUAUCCUCAUAAUUAGCAUAAGAGCUCAUCUCACUUUCUCUUCUAAGGCUAACUCCUUAGCUGUCCUCAUCUUCAGGUCACUGACAAUGGGUUCCAGCAGCCUUUCCCACUCCUCCAGCUUUCUAUCGCUUUUCUCCCACUUCUGCCCUUAGAUUGUCCUCUCUGCCCUGGAAUUAUUGGGCAAGUGAGCCAUUUCAACAUACAUCUCUCUAUCUGGAUCCUGCAAAGUGAGAAAUUAAUCUCCUGGCAUUUGCUAUAUACCCAAGCUAGCAUUACUCUCAUAGUCUUUAUUUGAAUGAAGAAACUGGUCAGACAGAAUCAAAUGGUUCAUCCGAAGCCAGAGCCAGCAACUGAAACCAUAUUAGAACAUGGAUGCCUGACUCCAAACUCCUGGGCCUGCUGACUCACACAUCUUUACACUCCCACAGGUUCAUUCCCCAGGUGCUUCAAAACAUAGCCACACAAAUCUCCUCAGCAGCCCAUUUAAAAAUAUGUAUGGUAUGUAUGAAUUCUCAGUACACUGGUGGUGUAAACAAAGGCAAAUCACCAAGUAAAUGUAUUUAAUUAGCCACUAUCCUUAAUUUCCAAUUAAUAUGAGAAAAUAAGCCUCCCUAAAAAGGUAUAUAGACAUAAGGUGGCACCAGACCUGCAGCGAUGGCUCCUAUCAGUGGCUGAAUGGUGAGAACGAAGGGGUAAUUCCAAGCUCCGAUUAUCAGCACCACUCCCAGAGGCUGUGGCUGAAUAUAGGCCUCAUCCAGCAUGGUGAGCACGUUCUUCUUAACUGGUUUAGCAGUAACCCAUUCAGGAAGAUUCUCAAGCAUAAAAUCAAUUUCCCCAAGGACAGUAAUGACUUCCUGACUGUACACAUUGAAUUCACUCUGUUAUAAGAGAAUCACAGUUAAUCUUGCAGAGUAAGUAUGAUACACUUGGCCCUGAAUGUCAGAACACUCACACCAGGUACACCUGUAGUGACAACAACUGGCAUUAUCAGACUAGCUGUUUGCCAUUCAGACUCCUUUUGCACCCUUCACGCCCCUGGUAAGGGCUUGCUAAUUCUCUAAUAUAUUUCUUUUAAAAAAAUCAAAGAUUAUUUCAGGGAGUAGUAACACUAGUCGAAUACCAUUAGUAAAUCCUUCUUUAGUAAUCCACACCCUUUAAAAGCCAGGCUUAAAUAUUACCUCUUUCAGGAAGAUUUCCUUGAGCAAUAAAGGUCUGCUCUGAACACACUUUAUAUAUUACAGCAAUCAUGCUUUUGACCUGCAUCUUAAUAUUCAUCCUUAACACACUGGUUUAUAACUAUCACUCACAUUUCAUCUGUGUAUGUUCUGUUUCCCAGUCAAGUUUAAAACUCUUGAGGACAGGGAACUUAUUGUAUUUCUUGAGUCAUCCUAUAUACACACAUACUCACACAAACAUUUAGUUCUUCAAGUAUGAUUAAAUGACACAGACUUUUUGGAAUCUUAAUUACCCCAUCUUGUUUAUUUAAUAUCACAGCCCCUUUCCACCAAAAGUACUCUAAAAGAAAUUUCAUAGUUGCUACUAGUACUACCACUAUUACGACUUAUUAAAAUAAUCUUUGAUUGAGGGGAUUGUGGGGAAGGGAAAAAUCACAAACCCAGAGCAAAGCCUUGCUACACAUGUAAUGCAGAUAAAAAGUAAAAACAAGAUGAUAGGCCAGGCACGGUGGCUCACGUCUAUAAUCCCAGCACUUUGGGAGGCUGAGGCGGGCGGAUCACAAGGUCAGGAGAUGGAGACCAUCCUGGCUAACACAGUGAAACCCCGUCUCUACUAAAAAUACAAAAAAUUAGCCGGGCACGGUGGCGGGCGCCUGUAGUCCCAGCUACUUGGGAGGCUGAGGCAGGAGAAUGGUGUGAACCCGGGAGGUGGAGCUUGCAGUGAGCCAAAAGAGCACCACUGCAGUCCGGCCUGGGAGAAAGAGCGAGACUCCGCCUCAAGAAAAAAAACAAAAACAAAAACAAAAACAAGAUGAUAGCCUCAUGCCUGUAGUCCUAGUAUCUGGGAGGUUGGGGCAGGAGGACUGCUUGAGCCUAGGAGUUGGAGGCUGCAGUGAGUUAUGAUUGAGUCACUGCACUUCAGCCUGGGUAACAAAGGGAGACCCUGUCCGUUUAAAAAAAAAAAAAGUAACAAUAUUAUCAGCAAACAUACAGGAAUAUACUUACACCCUAAAACACUACUUAAAACUUUGCUACCACAGGCCGGGGGGGUGGCUCACACCUGUAAUCCCAGCACUUUGGGAGGCCCAGGCAGGCGGAUCACUUGAGGCCAGGAGUUCAGGACCAGCUUGGUCAACAUGGUGAAACUCCAUCUCUACUAAAAAUACAAAAAUGAGCCGGGUGUGGUGGCGCACGCCUGUAAUCCCAGCUACUGAGGAGGCUGAGGCAAGAGAAUCGCUUGAACCCAAGAGAUGGAGGUUGCAGUGAGCCGAGAUCGCACCACUGCACUCCAGCCUGGGAGACACAGUGAGACUCCGUCUUAAAAGCAAAACAAAACAAGCAAACAAACAAAAAAACCACACACACAAAUCAAAACAAUAAAAACUUUGCUACACAAAGCGUGCUUCCAAAAGAGGCAUAUGAUAUCACUGGGGACCUUGUUAGAAACUUGGAAUCUCAGAUCCCACCCCCGACAUACUGAACCAUAAUCUGCAUUUUAACAAGAUCCCCAGGUGACUGUUAGUGCAUUAAAAUUUGAGGAGAACUGACCUAAUAAUACACAAAGUUAUGAAGAAAAAUUUGACUGCAACUAUAACUUAAAAACAAAACUCUGUCUAACAAAGAAACCAUAAACAAAGCUAAAAGACAAGAAAUAGACCCAGAGGCUGGUCUGAUGGUAAUGGGUUAUUCAGAACUUAUUAAUAUUACUGUUAUUCAAGUUGGUAUGCAACUCUCCCACUGCUAAAUUUGGCUUAAAAAAAAAGAAAAGAAAGAAACCCAAAGAAAGUAUCCACAAUACAGUAAACUGACAAAUUACUUAAAUCCAGAAUAUACAAAGAGUUCCUACACAUCAUAAGGAAAAGAACCACAAAUGUAACAGAAAAAUGGACAAGAAUAGAAAAGGCAGAAAAGGAACCACAGAAGCUAGGUAACAUAUGCCCUUCUGAGUGCUAGAGGACCGGGAAAGUCUGCGGGAACUUUGGCUUUAUCUGUAUCGCUGGAGAUCAUACUCCCAGUGCUGGAGUAAUCCGAAAUGUAAAAGCAAAAACAAAACCCAGCCGAAGCUCCAGUCCACAAGUGCGCGGCGGGGGCCAGUUUCCCCACACCCCGCCGCACGCGUGCGUACCUUGCACAGGUCGGCGGCGAUGGCCGUCAGGAUA